GGGGCUGUAGCUCAAUGGAAGAGUGCUUGCCUAGUAUGCAUAAGGCCCUGGGUUCAAUCCCCAGCACCCCUA
rnacentral:tRNA from 1 species